rnacentral:rRNA from 1 species
AUUGAACGCUGGCGGCAUGCCUUACACAUGCAAGUAGAACGGUAACCGGUCUUCGGAUGCUGACGAGUGGCGAACGGGUGAGAAACACAUCGGAACGUGCCUAGCAGUGGGGGAUAACUACGCGAAAGAGGGGCUAAUACCGAAUGAGAUCUACGGAUGAAAGCAGGGGAUCGCAAGACCUUGUGCUACUCGAGCGGCCGAUGGCAGAUUAGGUAGUUGGUGGGAUAAAAGCUUACCAAGCAGACGAUCUGUAGCUGGUCUGAGAGGACGAUCAGCCACACUGGGACUGAGACACGGCCCAGACUCCUACGGGAGGCAGCAGUGGGGAAUUUUGGACAAUGGGCGCAAGCCUGAUCCAGCAAUGCCGCGUGCAGGAUGAAGGCCUUCGGGUUGUAAACUGCUUUUGUACGGAACGAAAAGCCCUGGGUUAAUACCCUGGGGUCAUGACGGUACCGUAAGAAUAAGCACCGGCUAACUACGUGCCAGCCGCCGCCGUAAGAC